UGGGGAAUCUUAGACAAUGGGGGCAACCCUGAUCUAGCCAUGCCGCGUGAGUGAUGAAGGCCUUAGGGUUGUAAAGCUCUUUCAGCUGGGAAGAUAAUGACGGUACCAGCAGAAGAAGCCCCGGCUAACUCCGUGCCAGCAGCCGCGGUAAUACGGAGGGGGCUAGCGUUGUUCGGAAUUACUGGGCGUAAAGCGCACGUAGGCGGAUUGGAAAGUUGGGGGUGAAAUCCCGGGGCUCAACCCCGGAACUGCCUUCAAAACUCCCAGUCUUGAGUUCGAGAGAGGUGAGUGGAAUUCCGAGUGUAGAGGUGAAAUUCGUAGAUAUUCGGAGGAACACCAGUGGCGAAGGCGGCUCACUGGCUCGAUACUGACGCUGAGGUGCGAAAGCGUGGGGAGCAAACA
rnacentral:rRNA from 1 species